rnacentral:rRNA from 1 species
GACGUAGGGUGCAAGCGUUGUCCGGAUUUACUGGGCGUAAAGAGCGCGUAGGCGGUCUGUUAAGUGUAGAGUGAAAUCUCCAGGGCUCAACCCGGAAACUGCUCUGCAUACUGGCAGACUUGAGGGUCGAAGAGGUUUAUGGAAUUCCUGGUGUAGCGGUGAAAUGCGUAGAUAUCAGGAGGAACACCUGUGGCGAAAGCGGCUCACUGGACCAUAACUGACGCUGAUGCACGAAAGCUGGGGGAGCAAACAGG